GUCAUAAAAACUUCAUCUCGCUGCUUUGGCUCUCGGCAUCUAUAACUGCAAAUGUUCCAUUUUUCUGUGUCCGUACAAUGUCCUGAAACUUCUCUUUACUUAGUCUUCUUAUGGGAACUAGAAGUUUGACUGGGCUGGUGGUCCCUAUUUUCUUCUGGCCUUUGUUGUGAGGAAUACUUCCUUUUUUGUAUUGAUGUUGAUGCAACCAUUUUGGUCCUUUUUUUGGCAUGAUAAUUAUUUAACUGUAUACUUGUAGACUUUUUCUAAGAAUAUGCUAUUGUAUGUGGUGCACAUUUUUAAGUAUUGUAAACUUUUGUGUUGUUUAUUUAUUUUAGAGCUGCCAGGACUUUUAAGAGAAACUCCAUUCUUUGAUGACUGGUGGAAAAGCCUCAUCACCCCCCACUGCUUAAGAACCCCUUAUCUUAAUCACCAGCCAUUAAUCAGUGAUCACUGUUAUCAAAGCUCCAAGGUGUGCAUGAUGCAACUUCCUGGAUGGUGUGUAGGCUGUUUGUCAACAUGUGAAUCUCACGUGCAUUUCAGGGUAGUUAAAAGAGAAAGCUGAGGCUCAAGAAAAAGAAAGACUGAAAGAAGAAGCUUGAAAGUAUAUUUUGUAAGUGCAAAGAACAAAGUUUCCAAUGAUACCAAGGAUUUGUCUGAAAUUACAAUAGAGUUUGGUCCACUUGGCCACCAGUUGGCUUCGGAGCGAGCUGCCCGGACCGUGAUUUGAUGAGUGAACUGCACUGUGCGCCCGACCAGCAAAGUUUCUUGUGAAAGUAACAUUUCGAGGCAGGGAUCGCCGCGGAGUUCUGUUGAAGCUUUCGACCUUUUGCGAGUUGGUGUUUUUGAUCGUCCUGUCCAGUACAGCUGGAGACAACCUCUUAGAGAUGCAGGCAUGGAGCCUUGCCUCAUUUUCCGCGGAAGACGACCGUCCUUAUAGAGGGAAUCUGCAGCUCGACCGGCAGAGCUGUCCGGGUCAGUGGUUACCUCCCUUACCUCAAGCCCAUCUUUGCAGAGGAGUUCCGCCAUUCCCUCCCAAGUGAACUCAUCCCCGGUAUGGUGCAUUGGUAGAUUUGCCCCACACACCCCAGGACUGCAGUGGUGAUUAGCAGUACCCUCAUCCAAGACUUUCGCGUAGGAGGGGGAGUGUUGGUAGAAGAAAGAAUUUUCCUCAUCCCAUCAUUGCCUAUAGGGGUUUGACUGAGGCCAACUUGAAGCCCAUAGUUAACAGUGGCAGCUUUCCUACCCCGGGAUUUGGUCUCUACCUCCUCAUACAGAUUGUACCGCCUUGAUACAUAUAGACACUUAGUACAUCGAAGGCCCAUCCGGCUUCCCAGACAACGCCUCUCUUCUGAUGCCAGAUCCCAAUCAAGCGGUCCAUCGCACCUCGGACUCCCUUGCUGGUGGAGAGAAAUCACCUCAUUCCACAUCUCGGCUGUUUUCCCAUGGUGUAGCAGU